AAACAGAAUAAUGAGGAUUUCUAUCCUCCUAUUGGAUGUUUAGAUUACAUCUCACAUUCCAGUGUUCCUAAUGGAGGUGUAGAUUACAUCUCACAUUCCAGUGUUCCUAAUGGAGGUGUAGAUUACAUCUCACAUCCCAGUGUUCCUAUUGGAGGUGUAGAUUACAUCUCACAUUCCAGUGUUCCUAUUGGAGGUGUAGAUUACAUCUCACAUUCCAGUGUUCCUAAUGGAGGUGUAGAUUACAUCUCACAUUCCAGUGUUCCUAUUGGAGGUGUAGAUUACACCUCACAUUCCAGUGUUCCUAUUGGAUGUUUAGAUUACAUCUCACAUUCCAGUGUUCCUAAUGGAGGUGUAGAUUACAUCUCACAUUCCAGUGUUCCUAACGGAGGUGUAGAUUACAUCUCACAUUCCAGUGUUCCUAUUGGAUGUUUAGAUUACAUCUCACAUUCCAGUGUUCCUAAUGGAGGUGUAGAUUACAUCUCACAUUCCAGUGUUCCUAAUGGAGGUGUAGAUUACAUCUCACAUUCCAGUGUUCCUAAUGGAGGUGUAGAUUACAUAUCACAUUCCAGUGUUCCUGAUGGAGGUGUAGAUUACAUCUCACAUUCCAGUGUUUCUAAUGAAGGUGUAGAUUACAUCUCACAUUCCAGUGUUCCUAUUGGAGGUGUAGAUUACAUCUCACAUUCCAGUGUUCCUAAUGGAGGUGUAGAUUACAUCUCACAUUCCAGUGUUCCUAAUGGAGGUGUAGAUUACAUCACACAUUCCAGUGUUCCUAUUGGAUGUUUAGAUUACAUCUCACAUUCCAGUGUUCCUAUUGGAUGUUUAGAUUACAUCUCACAUUCCAGUGUUCCUAAUGGAGGUGUAGAUUACAUCUCACAUUCCAGUGUUCCUAAUGGAGGUGUAGAUUACAUCUCACAUUCCAGUGUUCCUAAUGGAGGUGUAGAUUACAUCUCACAUUCCAGUGUUCCUAAUGGAGGUGUAGAUUACAUCUCACAUUCCAGUGUUCCUAUUGGAGGUGUAGAUUACAUCUCACAUUCCAGUGUUCCUAAUGGAGGUGUAGAUUACAUAUCACAUUCCAGUGUUCCUAAUGGAGGUGUAGAUUACAUCUCACAUUCCAGUGUUCCUAAUGGAGGUGUAGAUUACAUCUCACAUUCCAGUGUUCCUAAUGAAGGUGUAGAUUACAUCUCACAUUCCAGUGUUCCUAAUGGAGGUGUAGAUUCCAUCUCACAUUCCAGUGUUCCUAUUGGAGGUGUAGAUUACAUCUCACAUUCCAGUGUUCCUAAUGGAGGUGUAGAUUACAUCUCACAUUCCAGUGUUCCUAUUGGUCAACAAGGCUGCGUUGGAAUUUCUCUUAAUGUGACUACAUUCAGCCAAAAGCAAGCUAGGUAA
rnacentral:lncRNA from 1 species